rnacentral:rRNA from 1 species
GACGAACGCUGGCGGCGUGCUUAACACAUGCAAGUCGAACGGAAAGGCCCUGCUUUUGUGGGGUGCUCGAGUGGCGAACGGGUGAGUAACACGUGAGUAACCUGCCCUUGACUUUGGGAUAACUUCAGGAAACUGGGGCUAAUACCGGAUAGGAGCUCCUGCUGCAUGGUGGGGGUUGGAAAGUUUCGGCGGUUGGGGAUGGACUCGCGGCUUAUCAGCUUGUUGGUGGGGUAGUGGCUUACCAAGGCUUUGACGGGUAGCCGGCCUGAGAGGGUGACCGGCCACAUUGGGACUGGGAUACGGCCCAGACUCCUACGGGAGGCAGCAGUGGGAAAUAUUGCACAAUGGGCGGAGGCCUGAUGCAGCAACGCCGCGUGCGGGAUGACGGCCUUCGGGUUGUAAACCGCUUUCGCCUGUGACGAAGCGUGAGUGACGGUAAUGGGUAAGAAGCACCGGCUAACUACGUG